UCACCUGCCGAAGCAACUAGCCCUGAAAAUGGAUGGCGCUCUAGCGUCGUGCCUAUACCGGGCCGUCAACGGCAAAGUGGGCUGGUGACCCGCCGGUUAACGCCGGCGGGCUCGGCCGUUAAGCCUUGACGAGUAGGAGGCGCGCGGCGGUGUGCGCAGAAGGGUCCGGGCGCGAGCCUGCCUGGAGCCGCCGUCGGUGCAGAUCUUGGUGGUAGUAGCAAAUACUCUAGCGAGGGCCUGGAGGGCUGAUGUGGAGAAGGGUUUCUUGUGAACAGCCGUUGCACAAGAGUCAGUCGACCCUAAGCCCUAGGAGAAAUCCGAUGUUGAUGGGCAGCGAUCACGCGGCGCUGGUUCGGUCGCACGGUCUCGCCGCCGCUUAACCGACCCCGUAAAGGGCGAGGAGGCGCGGCGCGUCCGCUUCUGCCGGCACACGUCGACUGCUCCCGUCGGGCGAAAGGGAAUCCGGUUCCUAUUCCGGAACCCGGCUGCGGAACCGUCACUUCGCGGGCACUCGCCUGCGAGCGCUCGUCGGGGUAACCCAAAAUGACCCGGAGACGCCGGCGGGAGGUCUGGAAAGAGUUGUCUUUUCUUUAUAAGCGUUCGAGUUCCCUGGAAUCCUAUAGCAGGGAGAUAGGGUUUGGAACGCGAAGAGCACCGCAGUUGCGGCGGUGUCCGGACCUUCCCCCCGGACCUUGAAAAUCCGGGUGAGGGCUACGCGGAAAUGUCGCGCCGGCUCGUACCCAUAUCCGCAGCAGGUCUCCAA
rnacentral:rRNA from 1 species